CAGAAAAUAUGUAAAAUUUGUGAGCAACAUGGAUAAGUUAGAUCUCUGCAAACUAUAGAGGAUAAAGUAAAUGGGAUUUAUUUCAAUGGUGAAUUUCAAGAAGUACAUGUACAUUACAACUAAAGAUGGAGGAGCCUGCCAGUCACAACUCCAGUACCUGACUUAAAGACAUAACUCUAGAAUGAAAACACCAAGUAGUAUUUUAUGAAUGAAUUGCGUGAGAUUUUCAGGUGGAACCAAAAACCAAAGAGGCUUUUUACGAGUCACAAUCACAGUUCUAAAAGGCUAAAAAAUGAAGGCUGGGUCUGCACCUUAGAAAAAGAUGCCUGUGAUUGGUCAAGAGGACACAGCAGACCUCGCAACCCACCCUGUGCUCUCCCUUCCAUCGACACUGACGCCUUGGAAAUAAUUGUGAUCUGGCUGUAAAGUUCUUGCUGGCAUAGCACUUACUACAUAAACCAGGCUGGCCUCAAACAGAAACCCACUGGCAUCUGCAUCCUGAGAGCUGAUAUUAAACGUGGGCUCUGCCCUUGCUCAUCAGA